GAUGAACGCUGGCGGCGUGCCUAAUACAUGCAAGUCGAGCGAAGCGGGGACGGGUGAGUAACACGUGGAUAACCUUCUAUUAGACUGGGAUAACUUCGGGAAACCGGAGCUAAAUCGGUUACUUAUUGAUGUAUCCGCGCCGCAUUAGCUAGUGGGGAAGGUAACGGCUUACCAAGGCAACGAUGCGUAGCCGACCGGAGAGGGGGAGCUGCAACACUGGAACGGAGACACGGUCCAGACUCCUACGGGAGGCAUCAGUAGGGAAUCUUCCGCAAUGGGCGAAAGCCUGACGGAGCAACGCCGCGUGAGUGAUGAAGGUCUUCGGAUCGUAAAACUCUGUUAUUAGGGAAGCGGUACCUAAUCAGAAAGCCACGGCUAACUCCGUGCCAGCAGCCGCGGUAAUAC
rnacentral:rRNA from 1 species